rnacentral:rRNA from 1 species
GACGAACGCUGGCGGCGUGCUUAACACAUGCAAGUCGAACGGAAAGGCCCUGCUUUUGUGGGGUGCUCGAGUGGCGAACGGGUGAGUAACACGUGAGUAACCUGCCCUUGACUUUGGGAUAACUUCAGGAAACUGGGGCUAAUACCGGAUAGGAGCGCCUGCUGCAUGGUGGGGGUUGGAAAGUUUCGGCGGUUGGGGAUGGACUCGCGGCUUAUCAGCUUGUUGGUGGGGUAGUGGCUUACCAAGGCUUUGACGGGUAGCCGGCCUGAGAGGGUGACCGGCCACAUUGGGACUGAGAUACGGCCCAGACUCGUACGGGAGGCAGCAGUGGGGAAUAUUGCACAAUGGGCGGAAGCCUGAUGCAGCAACGCCGCGUGCGGGAUGACGGCCUUCGUGUUGGAAACCGCUUUCGCCGGUGACGGAGCGUGAGUGACGGUAAUGGGUAAAGAAGCACCGGCUAACUACGUG